UACGGGGGGAGCAAGCGUUGUUCGGAUUUACUGGGCGUAAAGGGCGCGUAGGCGGCCACCGCAAGUCGACUGUGAAAUCUCCGGGCUUAACCCGGAAAGGUCAGCCGAUACUGCGGGGCUAGAGUGCAGAAGGGGCAAGCUGGAAUUCUCGGUGUAGCGGUGAAAUGCGUAGAUAUCGAGAGGAACACCUGCGGCGAAGGCGGAUGUCUGGGCCGACACUGACGCUGAGGCGCGAAAGCCAGGGGAGCGAACGGG
rnacentral:rRNA from 1 species